UACGUAGGUGACCAGCGUUGUCCGGAUUUACUGGGCGUAAAGGGCUCGUAGGCGGCCAACUAAGUCAGACGUGAAAUCCCUCGGCUUAACCGGGGAACUGCAUCUGAUACUGGAUGGCUUGAGUUCGGGAGAGGGAUGCGGAAUUCCAGGUGUAGCGGUGAAAUGCGUAGAUAUCUGGAGGAACACCGGUGGCGAAGGCGGCAUCCUGGACCGGCACUGACGCUGAGGAGCGAAAGCCAGGGGAGCAAACGGG
rnacentral:rRNA from 1 species